GAAUACUUCCAGCGCACUCGCGAACCUUCGCAACGACGGAAACGACAAGCUAACACGCAAAACGAAGAAAAAGACUAAUAAAAACCAAAUAAACAAUACAUAAAAAGUAAACAAACAUGUAGAUCAUAAUUUUAGAUGAAUUAUGAGACUUGAACGGCCUCAUUCUGACUUCAAAUGAAUUUAUUAUGAAUUUUACAAGAUUAAAUCUAAUUAAAGCCCAUUUAAAAAGAAUUAAAUAAAUUUAAUUCAAUUUAUGGACAAUUUUAAUAUGUAGAUCUUUAUUUUAUACAACUUUUGCAACUUGAACCACAUUAAACUGAGUUACAACGAAUUAGUUAUGAAUUUUUAAAGAUUAAAUCGGAUUAAAACACUUAUAUGGAUUUUAAUUGAAUUAUGACGCAAUAAUGAAUUAUUUUUGAAAAGGAAAAGGAGGAUUAUUGCGUCAGCGGCUAGGGUUUGCGGUGGACCGGGUGCACGGCAACGGUUCACGGGAACGGACGGCCGAGAUCAACCCUAUCCAAAACGGACGGCCGAGAUCGAACGGUCCUCGACCGGCUCACGGGGACGAUGACGUCGGCGAUGACGUCACCACCGGCGGCGACUCGGGCGCGCAUGCUCGCCGGCGAACGGCGGCGCUUCGGCACGAACGGAGGGCACCAACGGGUAGCGGACGGCACGGCGAACUCACCGGUGACCAAAGGAGCGGCGGAAGAUCAACGGACGGCGACGGCGACGAGGAAGAAGCGGCGGCGGAGAUCGGGUCGACGGCGGCGACGGUGCUCCGGCGGUCUUCGGCGGCGACGAAGAGGCGGACGAGGACGGCGGCGACUUGGCGACCACGACGGCGGUCUUCCCGAGCGACGGCGAUGACCGGAACGGCGGCGGCGCACGGCUGGAGCGACGGCGGCGACGGCGGCUCGAGGCUACUCGGCGCUAGGGCGCUACGGACGACGAGAGGCGAAGGCGAGGGAGGCGACGGGUAGAGGAGAGCUCGGGGGUCCUUUUAAAGGGGCAAGGAGGCGGCGGCGAAGGCCCACGGCGACCGGCGACGAGAUGGAAACUUCGGGGUUCGGAGGAAAGAGGCCGAUCCGAAUCGAACUCGAUUCCACGAACUUCCAAAACGAAUUAGCCGAUGCUUCCAAAAGAGAAAAGGUAGAGGAGAUCCCGAAGAUCAUUUCCCCUCUAUCAAUUCGGCCGGAGAAGGAAAGGAUCGACCGAAUUUUGGAAGGAGACGGCGGCGGCUCGGGCUAGGGUUUCGGGCGGCGGCGGCGGCGCGAGGAAGACGGAUCCGACAGGCGGGCCCCACCUGUCAGCGGCUGAGAGAGAGGAGGAAGGAGCGCGGCGGACUGGGCCGACUGGGCUGACUGGGCCGGGGAGAGAGAGAGGAAGAGAGGGGUUUUGGGCCGGCUUUCGGCCCAAAGCCAAAAGAGACUUUUAAAAACCUUUUUCAAUUUAAAUUAUUUCUUAAAUGCAAUUCCAUUUAUUAAAAAUACUUCCUUAGCUCAAAUAAAUCCCAGAAAAAUCUAGGAAUUAUAGAAUUAAGCAAAGUAUUUAACAAAAUUUUAUCUAGCCCAAUUUUAUAUUGAGAUUUAACAAAUUAAAAUUAGAUCUUCUCUUUUAGGCUUUUAAAAUCAUUUCUAAUAAUUCCUUUUAAACAACAAUUUAUAAUUUAAGGAUUUUAAACAAGAAAAGCUCUUAACAAUUAUAAUUAGAUCAUUAUUGAUCAAAUAAUUACUGAACUGUUCUUUGUAUCAUUUAGGAAUUGAGCUCCGAAAAAUCCGAGAAAAUUUCAGAGAGUUGACUUAAUCAUGGAGAAUUUAAUAAAAAUUAAAUCCAUCCAUGCUUUAUAUUUAGGAAAUUUUAUUUCCCACAUUUAACUUCACUUGUAAAUUAAAGAACAUUUAAUAUAAAUUCUAUUAAUAAUUUAUUAAAUAAUUUAUAAAUCCUGAAACGAAAAUCAGGAUGUGACAUGCAUUUACUGUGCAAGUUAUUUUCCUUUUGCAAUACCAUGUGAUUUCCUCCCUCUAUAACUUACUAGUAUUUUGUCCUGAAUGCUUGUUGAUGUACAAACCAUCUUUUGUUGAUAACAGGAAGAAUGUGAAGAUCUUCGUUCAUUGUCCCGGAAAGAACCUUCUAAAAGGCAAACUGUUGUAAGUUAAAUCUUCUUUGAAAUUUUAUUUCCCCAGAACACAAGUAUCUUAUCAGAUGUAAUAGGCUGCUGAAAUUCUUGUUUCGGCAGCAUGCAUACUUUAGGGAUAGCACCAAAAAAAAAAAAUGUUCGGUUCUUGGUUGUGUUGGACAUGGUUGGGCUAAAAGCAAGAAUUCCUUAUACAAGAUGGCUGAUGAUGUGGCUAAUAGGAAAUGUGAACAGUUCGCGUAUGGAAUGGUAGCAAAGAAGAUUGAAAAUUUGAGUAGCCUCUUAUCAUGGCGAUUAAUGCAAAAUUUGUCCAGAGUUAUAGUGCACUAACCUAGGUUCUCAUGAAAGCUUCCUUUGUUGCUUGGCUGGGGCAAAAGGGCUUGCAAUCUCGCUGUCCUGGUUGGCUGGUCUGGGCUCUUAAGCCUUGGCAGUUUGGUCGUUCAUGAGUUGUGCAUGACACAUUUGUAAAUAAGUUUAGUGUUUGUGAAUUUGUUUUGGUCAGAACUUCCGUCUUGACCUUUUGUAUUUUAUUUUCUCCUUCAUGACAGACUGCUAUCCUGUGUUGUUCGAUAAGAAAAACCUAGGUUUUAUUUUGACUAAGAUAGUCUAGUGCUAUAUAGCUAUUAUCUGAACAGAUCCAUAGUGUGAAACUUUAAAGGAACAUAUAUCCAUUAGUAUAGGGACUGUUUUUAAAUUUCAAAUCAUCAAAUGGUUGCAAGUUCACAAAUACAGGAUCUUGCAUUUCGUACAAAUAGAAGAUAUUUAGUGCCACCCUAGUCAUUAUAAACAAGGAGUAUUUUGGCCUCGCAUGUUUGUUUGUUGGCUUAUCAACCGCAGCCAAAAUUUGAAUUUUGGAACUUAAUUUUAGAGUUGAUUUUGCAAUUUUUUUUCAUUGUAUCCUAAUUUCCAUCAUUGGCUCAUGAACUACUUGCUCAUGAACUACUAAGAAAAGCAGUUUGACUUAUAAAAGUUCUACUCAAGUUUUUUUGGUUGCUUCGGUUAUUUUUCUAAGGAAAUAAGCACCAAACUCUAACUAGCCUUUACGCCCACUGAAAUUCAUCUUUUUGAUCACCAAAUGGGUAAUACUUUACCAUGUGUAUCUGGCAUCUUGGCCUCUGCCUUAUGGCUGGUUAUAUAUUCAGAGAUUAAUCACAUUGGAAGCAACCGCAGUGUUUCAUUCACCAUUUGCAACUUGCAUGUUUGGGACAUUAUAUAAUGUUUUAUUAUGUGCUAUUUUCCCGGUGCUAUUCUAUAUUUCCCUUCAUUUGGGAAGUUCUUAGGAUGUUUGUAUGAAUUCUUCUUAUACUUGAACAAUACAUCAUACAUGUAUAACUAUGCCUAAGCUUCUUUCAGAGCUCUGAACUAGAUGUAUUUAUACAGGCUGAGUUUGAGGAGAAAGCGAGAAGUAUGCAUGCAGACAUAAUGAGUCAUGUAAGUUCACUAGGAAGCCUGAUGAACUUUUAUGCGUCAUGCAGUACAUUCUGAAAUUGUUUAUAGAUUUUAGACCAAAUUUUCUUGUUUCCUAAUCACUAUUCUCUAUCUGAAUUCCCAUUGUUAUGUUCUUGUAUUAAAAAAAAUAUAGCCAAUACUUUGGUGACAUGUUUAAAACUAUAGAUUUUCGCAGUGUAAGUUCAUCUGUUGAUAGUAUUAGAAGUGACAACCAACUUAUUGUUUGUUAUUCUUGCAGUGGAUCAACAAGGAACUUCAGAGACUGGAAAAAUUGAUUGAAAUGGCAAAUGAGAAAGGUUGGCGUGCUGAAUAUCCUUACCAGAUUGAGUUCUUGUGAUCAUGUUGAUAUUCACCAACGAGUAUAUCUUGUUUUCAUAUUCUAACUCUGCAGCAAUUAUAAGAUUAGUGAACUUUGUACAGUACAGUUAUAUCCUUGACUGUAUAUCACGAUGCACGAAUACAUUGACAAAAGAAAGCUACUACGAACACCAUCAGAAAGGCAACGUCUUCUUGAAGAAGUCCCGCGAAUUAUUCCAGAUGUAGAGGAUAGUAAGGACUCUGGAUUUCUAGUUAUGGCAGCAAACAAAUCUUCUCAAAGGAAUACAGGUUUGUUUUUAGGACUCCUAGAAUUGUUUCGUGUUCUUCUGCUUUACUACUCAAUUCCAUAUUGUGCCAUGAAACCAAUGGAAAGUAGGAAGCAAUGGGUAUAGAGACUUGACAAUCACUUAGCCUGAUUAGUUUCCAUUCUGGGAUAUUUUUCUUUUGUUACCAUUGAACUUUUAAAUAUUAAAAUUAAGGAAUGUAACACUUAUUGCUGAUGAAGAGUUGAAUUUUGGAUUGCUAAUCAUUUUCUUUCAUGAUCUGCUGCUU
rnacentral:lncRNA from 1 species